CGGGUUAACCUCGACCCAAGAGAUCGGGAUAACACCUGGAAACAGAUGCUAAUACCGGAUAACAACAGAUGAUGCCUAUCAACUGUUUAAAAGAUGGUUCUGCUAUCACUCUUGGAUGGACCUGCGGUGCAUUAGCUAGUUGGUAGGGUAACGGCCUACCAAGGCGAUGAUGCAUACGCCGACGUUGACGAGACUGAAUCGGUCCACAUUGGGACUGAGACGACGGCCCAAACUCCUACGGGAGGCAGCAGGC
rnacentral:rRNA from 1 species